rnacentral:rRNA from 1 species
GAUGAACGCUGGCGGCGUGCUUAACACAUGCAAGUCGAACGUGAGAAUAGCAAUAUUUGAAAGUGGCAAACGGGUGAGUAACACGUGGGAACCUGCCCUGGAGUGGGGGAUAACGACUGGAAACGGUCGCUAAUACCGCACAGUUCUACUCUAUCGGGAGUUGAGUAGAUAAAGAUUUAUCGCUCUGGGAGGGGCCCGCGGCCGAUUAGCUAGUUGGUGAGGUAAUGGCUCACCAAGGCAAUUAUCGGUAGCUGGUCUGAGAGGACGAUCAGCCACAUGGGAACUGAGACACAGUCCCAACUCCUACGGGGGGCAGCAGUGAGGAAUAUUGGGCAAUGGGCGAAAGCCUGACCCAGCAACGCCGCGUGGAGGAUGAAGGCUUUAGGGUCGUAAACUCCUUUUGUGGGGGAAAGUAAGGAUGGUACCCCAAGAAUAAGUCACGGCUAACUACGUG